UACGUAGGGUGCAAGCGUUGUCCGGAUUUAUUGGGCGUAAAGCGCUCGCAGGUGGUUCGUUGCGUCGGGCGUGAAAGACCCCGGCUCAACUGGGGGAUGUCGUGCGAUACGGGCGGACUGGAGGCCAGUAGGGGGAUGCGGAAUUCCGGGUGUAGUGGUGGAAUGCGUAGAGAUCCGGAGGAACACCAGCGGCGAAGGCGGCAUCCUGGACUGGUCCUGACACUCAGGAGCGAAAGCGUGGGGAGCGAUCCGG
rnacentral:rRNA from 1 species